AGCCAGCCUAGCCGAAUCCGGCAAGGAUA
rnacentral:sRNA from 1 species